GCUGCUGACAUGUCCUCACAUCGUUAAUAUAGAAUGUAUUGAAAGCGAAUGUAUAUCAGAUUAUAGAAUGUAUUCCAAUGCAAGUUGGUCCCGUAAAUUAUCAGGGGUUCUGAUGUCUAUAAGAAUAUAUAUUCAGAUGAAAUGUGCAGAUGCUGAAAAUCCGAAGCAUACUGACAUAAUUUUAGUCCAUUUUAAAAUUUACAACAGCUAGGAAUGACCGUUAUGAUUCCUACUACAAACUCUGAGAGUAACACCUGUUCACCCCUCACCAUGUUCUCAAGAACUUUUUUGUCAAGACUAAGUUGUUUAUUGAAAAGGGACUUUGCUGUCACAGUCAUUCUAUUUGGAAAUAAAUAGCAACUUACUAGGCAAUUUCCACAGCAUGACCAAAAAUAGAAUAAGAUUAUAUAGCUGCGUUGUUUUGCCCUCGAACAUUUCCCUUCGUGUUACUACACGAGAAAGAAUAAAUGUCACGACUACCAACGUCAUUGUACAAAUCUCACCAAGGAGCAGUUUAUUGAAGACAACUUCGAAAUUAUCAAGAAAAAAUUAUCAGCAAACUAUGGAGCUACAGUAUGGUUGGUUGACUGGCUUGAAUUAGCAUUUCAAUCUUUUCAAAACACAUUCUGAUGUCUUGAAAAUUGAAGUUCACAUCAGAUAAUAUAGUCAGCCGAAUUACUUCUGAU